GUGAGGAAUAUUGCGCAAUGGAGGCAACUCUGACGCAGCCAUGCCGCGUGCAGGAAGAAGGCGCUACGCGUUGUAAACUGCUUUUAACCGGGAAGAAACCCCAGGACGUGUCCUGGGUUGACGGUACCGGAGGAAUAAGCACCGGCUAACUUCGUGCCAGUAGCCGCGGUAAUACGAAGGGUGCAAGCGUUAUCCGGAUUCAUUGGGUUUAAAGGGUGCGUAGGCGGAGCAUUAAGUCAGUGGUGAAAUCCUGCAGCUUAACUGUAGACUUGCCAUUGAUACUGGCGCUCUUGAGUGCGCUUGAAGUGGGCGGAAUGUGCCGUGUAGCGGUGAAAUGCUUAGAUAUGGCACAGAACACCAAUUGCGAAGGCAGCUCACUAAGGCGAUACUGACGCUGAGGCACGAAAGCGUGGGGAUCGAACAGGAUUAGAAACCCCUGUAGUCC
rnacentral:rRNA from 1 species